rnacentral:rRNA from 1 species
UGGGGAAUUGUUCACAAUGGGCGCAAGCCUGAUGACGCAACGCCGCGUGGGGGAUGAAGGUCUUCGGAUCGUAAACCCCUGUCGAAUGGGACGAAAGACUCGCGAGUGAAUACUUCGCGAGAGUGACGGUACCGUUAAAGGAAGCCACGGCUAACUCUGUGCCAGCAGCCGCGGUAAUACAGAGGGUGCAAGCGUUAAUCGGAAUUACUGGGCGUAAAGCGCGCGUAGGUGGUUUGUUAAGUUGGAUGUGAAAGCCCCGGGCUCAACCUGGGAACUGCAUCCAAAACUGGCAAGCUAGAGUACGGUAGAGGGUGGUGGAAUUUCCUGUGUAGCGGUGAAAUGCGUAGAUAUAGGAAGGAACACCAGUGGCGAAGGCGACCACCCGGACUGAUACUGACACUGAGGUGCGAAAGCGUGGGGAGCAAACAGGAUUAGAUACCCCAGUAUUCCCUGAGCGGGCUGGCAAGGCGCAU